CUCUGAUCAGCUAUGAAAACGAGGUCAUGUUUGACAAACAGCAUUGUUCUGUGCGAGCAGCAGUCAACGCACUUGGCAGGGAUAAAGCCUUGGAACACGCCAGUGAUUAUUUUUAAUUGGAUGGGCCUCGUGGCUGUAACAAAAAUCAAUGUAUUUCUGAGGCGGCUGCAGAGGCGUUGAUCCGACUUGGCCCUGCCGCUCCCGGGCGGCCAAGGGAUGCUGGCGCCAGGAAACAGGAGGCUCUAGGCCUUGGGCACAGGGGAUGAUGAGCCCCCCCGGCUCCUCCUACUGCUGGGAUGAGUCCACUAUAAGCCAGGGCCAGAAAAGCAUUGGCUGGGGGUGGUGUCUAGGAGGGCAUGGGGUGCCCAAGGGUGCAGAACACAGGGCCCAACAGGAGGCAGUGAGACAGGGAGCCUUGUAAUGCUCUUGUUUCUGGCUGGAGUCACCAGCGUGAGAUAUUUAAACUAAAACAGCAGAACGUCAUCUCUGGGACAUUGAUGAAGAAAGCAUGUCUCCUCCCUGCUGGUGGCUGCCCAAGAAUGAUGCAUUCAGGAGAGAGAGAAAAGUAACUGUGUACUCACACUAUCAGAGAAGCCUCCAAUCUGGUUGGAAGGUUUUUCCCAAGGAAGACAAAGGCACGGCGUCCCUCGUCCCUCACUGUGUGGUUGUCUGUAGGCAGAGUGACCCCCCCUUGUCUGCGAGCCUGGAGGGGCCCCAGGGCCUGGUGAGUGCUGGGGAGCUGUACCAGGGCGGACCUGCCAGGCCAGAGGCAGCAAAUGCUAGGUGUGCAGGCUCAUGCCUGUGGCUGGGAAGCGCUCGACCCCUGGAGAGCUCGGCGAGGGAGCAGCAUCAGGGCAGCUGAGGGGUCUUUUGAGGAUUUUUGGAAGUUGCUUCUGGACAGCCUUACCAGAAAGAAAAGGGGGAAGCCCCUGUGGAUCUGGGGUUUUGCUGCAACGCGUGUGAUUUGUGCCAAGUUGAGACUCCACUUUUCCUGAGAAGUCCCUGCUUCCCAGUCAAUAACAUCAAAAAGAAUUUAAAACUCUGUGUGGUAAGACCAAUUACAGCUUCUAAUCUUUGUCCUGGGUGAGUGUUUAACCCCCUCCCCACCACACACACAUCUGAGGAAGAAAUCUCAGAACUCAGACAGCCCCUAAAUCCACCUGAGCCUGGUUCUCUGGAAAACACCCUUGACAUCUACAUUAUGAGCCCGAGGAAGCUUUGCUUGUAGGCUGGGUUGCAUUUCCUACAAAGCCUCUGGUUUUCACAGCCACGUAAGCUAUUUCUCUCUCAAGGCAUUGCUUUUGUGUAGAAAUUUAUCAUGUUUUUCCCCCUCAGUCCAGAAGUGAAUUUUUUUUUUUUAAAUUGGAGAAAAUCCCUUAAGCUGUUUCGGACUUAUUCAAGCAUGCAAAAAGGGUAUUUUCCAUGCGUAGUUCAGAUGCUUAGUAUGUUCUUGGAUAGCCCAAAUAAUUUGAAUUUAAAACUUUGAAUUGGACCUCUUUAUGUCACAUCUUAAAAAGGUGCCAUUUAUGAAGAAAAAUAUGGUCAUGAAAUAAAGGAUAUGAGGAGUAAGUGAUCCUGCUGGCU
rnacentral:lncRNA from 1 species